GGCGCCCUGGGCUCACCGGCUGGGCUGGGCUGGGCUGGGCUGGGCUGGGCUGGGGAGGCUGGCUUGCAGUAACUUGCCUUCCUCCUAGCUCUGC
ensembl:miRNA